rnacentral:rRNA from 1 species
GACGAACGCUGGCGGCGUGCUUAACACAUGCAAGUCGAACGGAAAGGCCCUGCUUGCAGGGUACUCGAGUGGCGAACGGGUGAGUAACACGUGGGUGAUCUGCCCUGCACUUCGGGAUAAGCCUGGGAAACUGGGUCUAAUACCGGAUAGGAGCCAUUUUUAGUGUGAUGGUUGGAAAGUUUUUUCGGUGUAGGAUGAGCUCGCGGCCUAUCAGCUUGUUGGUGGGGUAAUGGCCUACCAAGGCGGCGACGGGUAGCCGGCCUGAGAGGGUGGACGGCCACAUUGGGACUGAGAUACGGCCCAGACUCCUACGGGAGGCAGCAGUGGGGAAUAUUGCACAAUGGGCGCAAGCCUGAUGCAGCGACGCCGCGUGGGGGAUGACGGCCUUCGGGUUGUAAACUCCUUUCGCUAGGGACGAAGCUUUGUGUGACGGUACCUAGAUAUGAAGCACCGGCUAACUACGUG